rnacentral:lncRNA from 1 species
ACUUUCUGCAAUGCAGUUGUUGGUUCAGCAGGUGGAGCUCGUGAAUUUGACCUUCCUUGCGGUGCUGAAGUCAAUCCUAAUUUCUCCCUCUGCUCUAGAUGGCUACCCUUUCUAUAAACUGGAUCAUCUGCAAAAUAAACAGAAAAUUAAUAUAACAGACAUGUUCAACCACCUGACCUCACCUCCAACUCUGUUUAUCAAUUUACUUACAAAAGCCAUCAUCUUCCCUUCAACAAUUAAGUUUUUGAGCAUGCAAAAUGAAAAUGAGACAAUGAUGAAAAAGAAAACAUAGGAUAAUUAACCUCUUGUUAUUAUGGGCCCUGUUAUCGGACGAGUCUUUUUAGGCUUCCAAGUCUUUGAAAACAUGCCUCCUAGACUUCCCAAAAGCUUUUCACCCUGAGAUUGUACAUCAAACAACUUCAGCCUCUAGGAUAAUCAUGCAUAUACACAAGGAUAUGGAACCACGGGACAAAAACAGGCAAUAAAAACAAAAAAUGGAAACCAAAUGAGGAGAUAAGCAUGACUUAGGGGCCAAUAAAAUGGACACAGGGAUUCCACAGCAAAUGAUCAACACAAAUCUCAACUAUGCUUGCAGUGUUCUAUAGUUUUUCCUAGCUGAUAAAUUCCUACUCACACAUAUUUGCAAUUGGAAAAGAGUAUUGCGUGCAAAUACUGGAAAUGGAAGAUUUGCAGCAUCAUGUUAAAAAAGACAAGGCAAUCUAACAUAAUGGAUUAAGUUGGAAACCUUCUACAAAAUAAACAGGAUGUUCAUAAAAUCCCCUAUAUUCCUUGAGAAUUAGAACUCGAAGGAAUAAUUUACAAGACAAAAGGAAUGUUACUUGGCAUUGAACAAGAUUGCAUCAAACUUAAAGUGGAUAAAAAAGGUAAUAUGUCAAAAAAAGUUUAGGCAUGCUUCCAACUUAAGUCCAUAAGACCGAAACUUUCCAUUGAAAAUAGCAGCUUCAUAUGUAUUAUGCAACAAGCAAAAAAAUAAAUAACAAUAAUAAUAAAAAAAUAAAUAAUAAAAAUAGUGAAACACUCGGUGGAAUUCAAUGCAAUAGGAGAGCAACAUCCCACCAUAAAGCAAAGGGCAUGGUAAAAGAACAAUAAAAAUGCUGAUAAAUUAUGUUUAAAUCAACAUUACAAUAAAAUCUAUCUUGAAACAGUGCCUAAAUAAAGUGUGAUAAAUAUUCCAUGACAAGUCUCAGUUCUUCUGCAUACUUAGGUUUAAACAUCUAAUAGAAAUUGUCCUUCAGAAUAGCACUCAUUGCAUCUAGUUCAUUACAUCAAAUGGUGAUGAGUGAAAGAUCAAAUGACAAAAUUGUAAUCUAUCCAUCAAUUAGCAAAGCAUAGAAAUAGUCUUAGCACUCGAAAGGCUAGUUAUAUGUUAUUGCACCAUUCUUCGUAGUUAAAGGUAAUGAUAUUUAUUUAACUAUUGCAAUCAUGAGAAAAAAUGUAAAAUUUCCACUGGUCUCUCCUAUAUACCUAAUCUUAAAAGGGGGAAAGGAAGACAAAAAGAAGGCCAAUCUAAAAUAUUAGCUGAAAAAAGAAGGAAAACUUACACGUAAUGCAGUGGAAUCCCUAUCUACACCAAGACUUGGAACAAAGUCAAAAGUAAACCCUAAUUAAUCAACUUCAAGACAUUGCACUGAUAAGCCAUCGGUAACAAAAUGCUUAUGAACAAUGAAUUACUAAUUAGUGGUCCUAAUCUACUGACACCAUUCUUCAAUAAAGUCAGCCACUUCUUUCUUAAUCUAGCAUUCUCAUCAAUUCCCUAAAGGGAAUGCGAGAGGGAAAGGUUCAGAUUUCUGAUCUCCAUAUACAUAAUCAGAGCUUAAACAUUUGAAAUCAAUCAGCCAGGAAGAGUCAUGAAGGUGGCCAACAGGAUGCAUAAACAAAACUUUCUUCUAAAAUCAGACAAAUAAACCGCGAAGCUUGGGGUUAGAAUUAGUUAAUUCAGUAAACCAUACCCUGCUAAGAUCAUGGUCAAUGUCUGCAGCAGCAUGAUGCGUCCUUGUUAUUUGUUCACCCUGAUGAUGCAAGGUCACCAAUGUUUUAGUAGCAUCCUCUCUCAUUUCCUCAGCAAUCUUCAGGCAACCAUUCACCGCCUUUGUUGUCUCUUCAGCUCUAUAAACAGAAUAGUUCUCCAACUCUUGAACAGUUUGGUUCUCUAAUCCUCCUGAGUCACGGAAAUCAUUUUUGUAUUUAUUUCUAGCCGAAUGAUUGGAGGUAUAUGAUGACAAUGAAGUCCCUUUGACCUCUUCAUCAUCAAAUGGGUUGGUACUCGUGUUUUGGGUAACUAGCGAAGGCUCUGAAGAAGUCCUCCUGGAGGUUGUUAGGGCUUGCUUGUUAUCUGACUCACCAUCAGAAUCAAAAGGAUUUGAGCCAGAAAUUCUAGAGUCAACUGAGGUAUGUCUAGCGUUCCUAUGCAGUGGAGAUUUCUUGUGACCAAACAUCUUGAAAAACUAGCUAUGCAAAUUCAGAUACGGCAAUACAGAGAGUUAGAUUCUGAAGCAGUAUCACUGAACAAUAUUUGCAAAAUGCAAAGUGAGCCUGAAAAGAAGAUAAACUUGUUAGAGCUGGCAACACCAAUGUAGGAGUUAACCUGGGCAACUAGAAAUUAAACCAACAAAGUUUAGAAAAACAUCUCAAUCAUCAAGAUAGAAACUAAACACAAAUGAUAGAAAAAGCAUCAAGAAUAGAUAACAGAAAAGAGCAAGGAAGAAGCUAAGCAGAUAAUUAACUUAAAGGACGGAAAAGUUCCUUGAAUCGAGGAACUACUUCCCUUUAUCAGCAACACUCAAGAGUAGCAUCCUUUAAAAAAUCUUUCAUAACAAAACCCAAUAAAAAAACAUCAAAUAUGCAGAAAUCACUCAUCAAAAAGCAGCGCGAGCCAUGUCUACAGAGAUAAUUAGUGAUUUGGAAAAAUAAAUAAAUCCUGAUCCUUUAAGCUUGUAUGUCAAUUAAGAGAAUAAUGGGAUCUUGACAAUGAAAUUUCUACAUACAGAUAAAAAGAAAAACACCGUCUAUAGAGUUCUCAAAACAUUCUCAACCAUUCAUUCCUUCUAUAACAGCAGGGUAUGAAAAAUAAGCCUUGAUCUCUUUCCCAACUUUCUUUCCGGUUUCUCUCAGCAACCACACAUUCCAUAAGUCAAAGCAAUCAAACACGAAGUUAAACCACCUGAAUCAGCGCCCCCCCCCCCACCCACAAAAACCGUCCUAACCUCCUCUCCGCCCCAACCCCACUACCCUCUGCACUUCAAAAAAAUUUAGAAAAAAAAGUACCCCCGUCCAAACAAAAUAACAAACAAAGUAGAACCACCAUAUACAUUUAUACUCCUAAUUCAUGAAGAAGAAGAAAUCAAGAAAAUUUAGCCCGUGGGCUACACAGAAAUCAACCUGUACAAGUACAUGAACCAAUAAAACCAUGAAAAAAAGAGUUACGAAAACAAGAACAGACUUGAAUAAACCAACACAAACAUCAGAAAUGUAGACAAAGUCAAGUAAAGAGGUUUAAGGGUAUCACGGAAAAAGGCAAACCUAGAACAAGAACAACAAAAGAAAAAGAAGGAGAGAGUGGGAAGUACCUGAAAUUGAAUCAAGAGAUCAAGACGUGAAAACGGACAAUCUUGGACUUUUCACAAGGCACAGGAAAAGCCCUUUCUUGGCUUUCAAGAACCUGUUUUGACAGCAAAAAUGGAGAUAAAAGCAGGAGAUGUUGGUGGGCUUUUGU